AGUAACCUGCCUUGGAGUGGGGAAUAACAGCUGGAAACAGCUGCUAAUACCGCAUAAUAUAUCUGGGUCGCAUGGCUCUGGAUAUCAAAGAUUUAUCGCUCUGAGAUGGACUCGCGUCUGAUUAGCUAGUUGGUGGGGCAACGGCCCACCAAGGCGACGAUCAGUAGCCGGACUGAGAGGUUGGCCGGCCACAUUGGGACUGAGACACGGCCCAGACUCCUACGGGAGGCAGCAG
rnacentral:rRNA from 1 species